UAAUACGUAGGGUGCGAGCGUUAAUCGGAAUUACUGGGCGUAAAGCGUGCGCAGGCGGUUUGUUAAGUCUGAUGUGAAAGCCCCGGGCUCAACCUGGGAAUGGCAUUGGAAACUGGCAAGCUCGAGUUUGGCAGAGGGGGGUGGAAUUCCGCGUGUAGCAGUGAAAUGCGUAGAGAUGCGGAGGAACACCGAUGGCGAAGGCAGCCCCCUGGGCUAAGACUGACGCUCAGGCACGAAAGCGUGGGGAGCAAACAGGAUUAGAUACCCUGGUAGUCCACGCCCUAAACGAUGCUCACUAGGUGUUGGGGAAGCGAUUCCUUGGUACCGAAGCUAACGCGUGAAGUGAGCCGCCUGGGGAGUACGGCCGCAAGGUUA
rnacentral:rRNA from 1 species